rnacentral:rRNA from 1 species
UACGGGGGGAGCAAGCGUUGUUCGGAUUUACUGGGCGUAAAGGGCGCGUAGGCGGCCACCGCAAGUCGACUGUGAAAUCUCCGGGCUUAACCCGGAAAGGUCAGCCGAUACUGCUGGGCUAGAGUGCAGAAGGGGCAACUGGAAUUCUCGGUGUAGCGGUGAAAUGCGUAGAUAUCGGAAGGAACACCGGUGGCGAAAGCGGCGCGCUGGAUCUCUUCUGACGCUGAGGCGCGAAAGCCAGGGGAGCGAACGGG